GUGGUUUUCAGCUGUAACUUGGCACAUCCUUAUUAACAGAUGCUUCAAGUGAAAUUGUCACCAUCUGAUAAUGACUUUGUAAAGACCCCCCAAUCAGCACUGGAGAUUGGGUGGGAGCAGGCAAAGGUGAGUUUUACUUAUGUAAACCUGUCCCUCAUGGGCGCAGCCAUCCUCUUCUGCUCCUGGUGCUACAGCUGCCAGGAGCAAAUGCCACUCCUGUACUUGUGCACAUACAUGAGUACAGUAUUGAGGUCUAUGGAAGAUCCUCCAGGAUCCUCCAUAGAUAGCUCUUAUUAC